rnacentral:rRNA from 1 species
CUACGGGGCGCUCCAGUGGGGAAUAUUGGACAAUGGGGGAAACCCUGAUCCAGCAAUGCCGCGUGUGUGAAGAAGGCCUGCGGGUUGUAAAGCACUUUCGGUUGGGAGGACUGCUCCUAGCACUAAUAUUGUUGGAAGUUGACGUUACCUUCAGAAGAAGCACCGGCUAACUCCGUGCCAGCAGCCGCGGGUAAUACGGAGGGUGCAAGCGUUAAUCGGAAUUACUGGGCGUAAAGCGCGCGUAGGCGGCUAGAUCAGUCGGGUGUGAAAGCCCCGGGCUUAACCUGGGAACUGCAUCCGAUACUGUCUAGCUUGAGUACAUGAGAGGAGAGUGGAAUUCCACAUGUAGCGGUGAAAUGCGUAGAUAUGUGGAGGAACACCAAUGGCGAAGGCAGCUCUCUGGCCUGAUACUGACGCUGAGGUGCGAAAGCGUGGGGAGCAAACAGGAUUAGAUACCCUAGUAGUC